AGGGAAUCUUCGGCAAUGGACGGAAGUCUGACCGAGCAACGCCGCGUGAGUGAAGAAGGUUUUCGGAUCGUAAAGCUCUGUUGUAAGAGAAGAACGAGUGUGAGAGUGGAAAGUUCACACUGUGACGGUAUCUUACCAGAAAGGGACGGCUAACUACGUGCCAGCAGCCGCGGUAAUACGUAGGUCCCGAGCGUUGUCCGGAUUUAUUGGGCGUAAAGCGAGCGCAGGCGGUUAGAUAAGUCUGAAGUUAAAGGCUGUGGCUUAACCAUAGUAGGCUUUGGAAACUGUUUAACUUGAGUGCAAGAGGGGAGAGUGGAAUUCCAUGUGUAGCGGUGAAAUGCGUAGAUAUAUGGAGGAACACCGGUGGCGAAAGCGGCUCUCUGGCUUGUAACUGACGCUGAGGCUCGAGAGCGUGGGGAGCAAACAGGAUUAGAUACCCUGGUAGUCCACGCCGUAAACGAUGAGUGCUAGGUGUUAGACCCUUUCCGGGGUUUAGUGCCGUAGCUAACGCAUUAAGCACUCCGCCUGGGGAGUACGACCGCAAGGUUG
rnacentral:rRNA from 1 species